AAGUCGUAACAAGGUUUCCGUAGGUGAACCUGCGGAAGGAUCAUUACUAGAGCAAAGGAUAGACAGCGCCCGCGGAGCUCGCUCCCGGGGCUACCCUACUCCCGUAGGGUUUAGAGUCGUCGGGCCUCUCGGAGAAGCUCGGUCCUAAACUCCACCCUUGAAUAAACUACCUUUGUUGCUUUGGCGGGCCGCCUCGUGCCAGCGGCUUCGGCUGUUGAGUGCCCGCCAGAGGACCCCAACUCUUGUUUUUAGUGAUGUCUGAGUACUAUAUAAUAGUUAAAACUUUCAACAACGGAUCUCUUGGUUCUGGCAUCGAUGAAGAACGCAGCGAAAUGCGAUAAGUAAUGUGAAUUGCAGAAUUCAGUGAAUCAUCGAAUCUUUGAACGCACAUUGCGCCCUCUGGUAUUCCGGGGGGCAUGCCUGUUCGAGCGUCAUUAUAACCACUCAAGCUCUCGCUUGGUAUUGGGGUUCGCGGUUUCGCGGCCCCUAAAAUCAGUGGCGGUGCCUGUCGGCUCUACGCGUAGUAAUACUCCUCGCGAUUGAGUCCGGUAGGUCUACUUGCCAGCAACCCCUAAUUUUUUUAAGGUUGACCUCGGAUCAGGUAGGGAUACCCGCUGAACUUAAGCAUAUCAA
rnacentral:rRNA from 1 species